rnacentral:rRNA from 1 species
UACGUAGGGGGCUAGCGUUGUCCGGAAUCAUUGGGCGUAAAGCGCGUGUAGGCGGUCCGGUAAGUCCGCUGUGAAAGUCCAGGGCUCAACCCUGGGAUGCCGGUGGAUACUGUCGGGCUCGAGUCCGGAAGAGGAGUGUGGAAUUCCUGGUGUAGCGGUGAAAUGCGCAGAUAUCAGGAGGAACACCAAUGGCGAAGGCAGCACUCUGGGACGUGACUGACGCUGAGACGCGAAAGCGUGGGGAGCGAACAGG